rnacentral:rRNA from 1 species
GACGUAGGGUCCGAGCGUUGUCCGGAGUUACUGGGCGUAAAGGGCGCGUAGGCGGUUUCUUGCGUCCCACGUGAAAGCCCCUGGCUCAACCAGGGAGGGUCGUGGGAAACGGGGGAACUUGAGUAUAGAAGAGGAAAGUGGAAUUCCACGUGUAGCGGUGAAAUGCGUAGAGAUGUGGAGGAACACCAGUGGCGAAGGCGACUUUCUGGUCUAUAACUGACACUGAGGCGCGAAAGCGUGGGGAGCAAACAGG